AUGAGUUAAGGAUCAAAAGGGAAUCAGGUGAGAAUCCUGAACAGACCCGCUGCUGUAAGCCCUCAAAAAGGGAUGUCCAUUACCACAAGUGCCACUGGCUGCAAAGCCGGGAAGGCGGACAUACCGGGGUAAGUCAGAAGACCUGCAAGACACGU
rnacentral:ncRNA from 1 species